rnacentral:rRNA from 1 species
AGUUUAACUUUAUACAUUUAAGAAGUGAUCUACCUAUGAUAUUUUAGGAAACAAAGCAUUUUUAGAUUUAGUAAAGGUGAUUGAAGCUUAAUACUUUUAUAUGGACGCAGUACUGUGAAGGAAAAUUUUAAACUAAAAAUUAGAAAUAAUUAGAGUUUGUACCUUUUGCAUCAUGGUUUAACUAGAUUAGCUUCUAGAUAGAGAAUCUCGAAAUCUAAUGAGCUAUUCUUAUUCCGGUUUAUAGACCUAUUAUGGGUUAGUUGUGGCAAAAACUUUCCAAGAACUAAGAAUAGAUAUGAAAUUUUAUUCGCAUUAGGUGAUAGCUAGUUUUCUUCUAAAGGCAUAUUAGUGCUUCAAACCAUGGGUUUGCACUAUGAGAAGGUUUUAUAGAUGCUUAUGCUGGUUUGUCUAUAUUUUUGAGGAUAAGCUCGAAAAUAAAUUUGAAUAUGCAUUUAAUUUUUUUAAACAUAAGCUUAGUAAUGGCUAUUGGUAGAAGAUCUUGUUAUAAUUCAUUACUUGGUUAUCAAUAUGAUUUAUUUGCUUAUUAAUAAAGGAGAAAAAUUUUUAUAACCGUAUGGUAAAAUAAUUAUAUGUUAAGAUGAGUAUUAGACUGCCUAUUCAUAAGAGACUAAUAAAUUAAAAUUUAGGGUUCUAUAUAAUAUUUUAAUAUAAAAUCGUAAGAAGGAACUCGGCAAAGCUAUAUUCUGCCUGUUUAUCAAAAACAUGGCUUCGUGUUAUUAUCAAUAUACGAAGUCGGACCUGCCCAGUGAAUUUUAAACGGCCGCGGUACUCUGACCGUGCAAAGGUAGCAUAAUCAUUUGCCUUAUAAUUGAAGGCUGGAAUGAAUGGUUUGACAAGAAUAUAUCUGUCUCCUUUAGAUUACUUAGAAUUUUAUUUUUGGAUGAAAAAGUCCAGAUAUAAUUAAAAGACAAGAAGACCCUAUCGAGCUUUAGAAAAAUUAGUAGAUUUAAUGUAAUUUGAUAUUAAUAAAAGAAAAGCUAUUAAAUACUUUGAUUGGGGCAAUCGAGGAGUAACUAAAGCCUCCUUUAGAUAUUUAAAUCUUACUUGCGUUGAUCCAAAGUGUUUUGAUCAAAGGAAUUAGUUACCGUAGGGAUAACAGCAUUAUCUUUUUUAAGAGCCCAUAUCGAAAAAAAGGUUUGUGACCUCGAUGUUGGACCAGAAUAUCCUAAAGAUGCAGAAGUCUUUAAGGGUUGGUCUGUUCGACCAUUAAAAUUCUACGUGAUCUGAGUUCAGACCGGCGUGAGCCAGGUCAGUUUCUAUCUUUAUAUUUUUAGGUUGCGCCUAGUACGAAAGGACCGAUGUAACAUAUAAUAUAUCUUAGUUAGAUUAAAUAUAAUUUAAUAAUAAAA